GAUGAAGAACGUAGCGAAAUGCGCUAAGUAAUGUGAAUUGCAGAAUUCAGUGAAUCAUCGAAUCUUUGAACGCACAUUGCGCCCGCCAGUAUUCUGGCGGGCAUGCCUGUUCGAGCGUCAUUUCAACCAUCAAGCCCCCGGCUUGUGUUGGGGACCUGCGGCUGCCGCAGGCCCUGAAAACCAGUGGCGGGCUCGCUAGUCACUCCGAGCGUAGUAAUACAUCUCGCUCAGGGCGUGCUGCGGGUUCCGGCCGUUAAAAAGCCUUAUUUACCCAAGGUUGACCUCGGAUCAGGUAGGAAGACCCGCUGAACUUAAGCAUAUCAAUAAGCGGAGGA
rnacentral:misc_RNA from 1 species